rfam:Actinomadura sp. CNT-125 NODE_284_length_9616_cov_69.5666_ID_14423, whole genome shotgun sequence.
GCCGCUCUCGUUCAAUGGGAAAGGACACCGGGCUCUUACCCCGGGUAUAGAGGUUCGAGUCCUCUGGGCGGCA